CCUACGGGGGGCUGCAGUGGGGAAUAUUGGACAAUGGGGGCAACCCUGAUCCAGCCAUGCCGCGUGUGUGAAGAAGGCCCUCGGGUUGUAAAGCACUUUCAGUGAGGAAGAACGCCUGGUGGUUAAUACCCAUCAGGAAAGACAUCACUCACAGAAGAAGCACCGGCUAACUCCGUGCCAGCAGCCGCGGUAAUACGGAGGGUGCGAGCGUUAAUCGGAAUUACUGGGCGUAAAGCGCGCGUAGGUGGCUUGAUAAGCCGGUUGUGAAAGCCCCGGGCUCAACCUGGGAACGGCAUCCGGAACUGUCAAGCUAGAGUGCAGGAGAGGAGGGUAGAAUUCCCGGUGUAGCGGUGAAAUGCGUAGAGAUCGGGAGGAAUACCAGUGGCGAAGGCGGCCUUCUGGACUGACACUGACACUGAGGUGCGAAAGCGUGGGUAGCAAACAGGAUUAGAUACCCUUGUAGUC
rnacentral:rRNA from 1 species